CACCCCGUGCUUCAGAAGUGCUGUUAUGACGGAGCCCAACAAAGCAAGGAGAGCUGCAAGCAGAGAGCUGCACGAAUUACCAUCGGCCCAAAGUGUUCCAGUGCUUUCUCUCAGUGCUGCAACCUGUCAAGUGAGCUGCGGAAUGAGACUUCUCACACAUAUGUAAUCUUGGGAAGGAUAGACACAGGUUCAUCAAACACUUACAUACGAGCUGCAAGCAGAGUUGUUUUAGAAAACUGGUUAUGGAAAGUAUAUCAUGUCACUAAAAGGCAUCAGCUGGAGUUGGUGCUACCUGAUUUUCUAACUACCUGGGAAAUUCAAGGUGUUGGCAUUUCAGAUAAAGGUCUGUGUGUCACAGAUGUGCUGCAGUUGCAGCUGUACAAAGACCACUUCCUGGUCACAAAUGGCAAUGCUACAAGCGUCCAUUAAAAGGGAUAGUUUCCAACAUCAAAACUCCAGGAACUUAACCCUCAACUCAGAAACGGUGGCUGAUGCUCCAGCAGCCAUCCUGGACCACAAAGUAACACCGAAGAUGGAAACUAGGUUCUAGGACAGUGGCACAGAAAGAUCCUAGCUCCUGCCUCUGAUGACACGUGAAGCUGCCAUUCUAGCCCUUGACUGCCCACCACUAGAUUUCUUUUCUAUGAGAGAGAAAUAAAUGUUUAUCUCACUUAAGCAA